GACGUAGGAUGCAAGCGUUGUCCGGAUUUAUUGGGCGUAAAGAGUUCGUAGGCGGUUCGUUAAGUCUGAUGUUAAAGACUGGGGCUCAACCCCGGGAGUGCAUUGGAUACUGGCGGACUGGAGUGUGGUAGAGGCUAGUGGAAUUCCCAGUGUAGCGGUGAAAUGCGUAGAUAUUGGGAAGAACACCAGUGGCGUAGGCGACUAGCUGGGCCAUAACUGACGGCUGAGGAACGAAAGCCAGGGGAGCGAAUGGG
rnacentral:rRNA from 1 species